rnacentral:lncRNA from 1 species
AGAUAAGGGAUCAUAUAUUCCUCCAUUCUAGAUAUCAUAUGGACUGAGACAUGGAUUAUAAUCAUUCUCUCUGUCCAUUUGUUGUUUCCCGAUUUCCGAUUUAUGACGACUGACUAAUUGAACAAAUCAAAUCAGUCCUGGCCCGGCCGAGCACUUCCAUUUGUCAUCAUCAAAUCAUCGAGGGGCCCACAGAUAUCGCUUUUAUCCCGAAGGUAAAAGGAAUGGAUAAACUUCGACUCAUAUGGCUUGUUCUACUACUUGUUGAAUCAUACACAAAGGCACGUUUUAUAACAUCGAGUUACCAAUGCGUUUUCGUGCAAUCAAUGUAUAACCAACUCAUAGUAACAACUCAUAUCUCUAGGUUUGAAGAAUAUAAGAUAUUAUCGUCUCAUGAUCACUCGAGAUAAAAUCCAUGAAGUGAUUCAAAUGAGCGCGGGUUGAAUCCAAUACUCAGAACUUAUGAGUACUCAUGAGUGUUGUAGCAAUACUUUGCUUUGUCCAACAUCUUAGACAUCUACAAGCGAACUCAUGACAGUCUUGAUUCAUAUCUACUUCCAACAUAUGACCGACUGUGGAUGGUUUGAAUAACUUAGUCAUUCCGGAAGAAUAACCUAGUUAUUAUGGAAGUCAAAACAUGCAAAGUUAAACACAAGAAUAAAUGAAUCUAAUAUGGUAUCAAAACCUAUGAAUAUAAAUAAAACAGUUUCUAUUUAUCACCAUACUGAUUACUCAUUAUUCAUUGUUUCGGUUUUAUCAACUUUAUACUUGAAUUAAAACACUAGGUGUCCCAUGCUCCAAGCAUGUACACUAUGUUUUCUAAACAAUAUGUCACAACUUGGAAAUCUAUACCGUGUAACAACAACAAUGAUAACAUUUAGGAUCCAAAAAUGUGAAAGCAUGUAUGAUACUUAUUUAAUAACAACAAAUUUUCCAUCAAACACUCUAUACAAGCACUUCAAAUAGUCAACAAAGAAUUUGAAACCCUAGAAAUCCCGGUUUAAGUCCAUUAUGGGCUAGGAUUUCCUUAUUGAGCCUAAUGGGCCAAUAUGCUUCAAAUUUGACUAUUUUGGGCUUAGAACUCUUAAAUGGGCUCUAAUUAGACCCACUUUCAUUUAUUUUAACAUUUUGGGCCAUAAUGGGCCUAAAAUGAAAUAAAAUACCCUAAUGGACCUUAUUGGGCCAUAACUAACCUAAUUAGCUUUAAUGUGCUAUGAAACCCAUUAUUCUUAACAAAUUGGGCCGUAAACCAUUAUAGGAGCCCAACGGGCCGAAAAUCAUCAAAAUGGGACCAUGAUAUGGAAUUAAGCACCAAAGGCCCAAAAAUUCUUUUCUUUCUUCCCUUCUCUCGGCCCAAGUUAAGAAAAAAAGAUGCAAAAUGGGGAGGGUUGACUUUAGGAGGUGCCACCUCCUUAUUGUACACCAUGUACCCAUGCAUGGACCAACAUGCAUCUAUAAUGGUCACCUCACCCUCUCUCUCUUCUCCUUCUUCUACUCACGGUUGAGGGUCACCAAACACACACACAUAUAUCUUCAACCUCUCUUCCCAAACACUCUCAAGAACACUCUUAUUCCUCCAUCAAAGUUUUCGAGAUCUAGGGCAUUUCAAGGAGGUUUUUCCAAAAAAAAAAUCAUCAUCUUAGGUAAUUUGAUGCUUGGAUCCAUAAUCUAGACUCUUUGUUCUAUCAAAAAUCUCUUCUUAACUCAUAUAAACUCAUGAUCAUCAUCUUAGAAUCCUCUAAGUUCGAGAUCCACCCAAGAGAGCUUGCUAGGGCCGAAAAUACCAUCAAACUUCUUCCCUUUCUUUUUCAAAUAGAAAUCAACAAACAAAGGUGAGUUCAUACCCCUCUAUUUUCGGUUUUCAUAUGUUUUAUGGGGGAGAAUACAAGUAAAAUGUGUAGAUCUAUGGGUAAGUGUGUGCUAUGUGUGAUUUCAUCUGUAUAUAUGGUAAAUAUGUGCCAAAAAUGAAAGAUAUUUCAAGAUCUAUAGUUCAUAAGGGAAAAAUAUGUGAUCUAGGUGUAUUACACAUAACUAGUUAAGAAAAUCUACCAUAUAAGGUUUAAAAUAAACAUGUUACAACAUAAGACUCAUUAUUGGGUUAUUUUUGUCAAAUAAACAAAAGUUUGGGGAAAGAUUGUCAUUCUUGGUUUCUUAAUGACUAAAAGAGUCAAAUCAGUAAAAAUAAAUGUUUUUAUGGAUAUCAUACUCUUUCAAGGGCUAGAAGUGUAAAUUGUAGCUUAAUGGGACAAAUUUUGGGCUUUUCGGCCCAUUAAGCCAUAACUUGCGAAAAUUUGAACUUUCAAGGGAGUGAAAUGAUAAACUUCUCAAAACAGGGGACAAAAAGGGUAAAAAUACUAUUUCAGGGGUUAAAAUGAUGUAUUUUCUAAACAAGGAUAAAAAAUGUGAACUUUUUGGAAUUUGGGCCAAAAUUGUAAAAGUUGCAAAAGUUUGGGCUUUGACCAAAAAAUACUUUUAUGGAAAGAAUGAAACUGCCAAAUAAAAAGUUUUGAGCUAAAAACAUCACUUGAACAAGUCUUUGGGUCAAUAGUGUCAAGAAAAUGGUUUAAGGGCUUAAAAUGUCUUUUUUUAUAUAAGGACUAAAACUGUCAAUUUUACCAAAGAAGGGAUAAAAGGGGUUCAAACCAAGAAUUGUGAGGCAAUUAUUUUAUUUUUAAGAUAUUUGAGUUAAAAGAAAAAUACCAAACUACCAUUCAUGAAAAUGGAAAGAUGAAAAUAAGUAUAAUUCCAAACAUCAUAAAAAAUAACCGACCGACCUUGUUCCGGUGUGAAAUUAACAAUCACCCAAUCAAACUUUCCAACAAUUAAACUACACCUAAAACAAGUAAACAUUCAAAUCUUUGGGCUUGAAAGUUCCAAUCAUGCUUGUUGGCCCUUUGUGACCCAUUAACAUGAUUUUUGGGCCCAAGGGAUAAUAAAUAAUGUUAUUGGGCCUUCUAUGACCCAAUUUCAUAUUUAAGGGACCCUCAAUGGCUUUUAAGUGCUAUUGGGCCUUAGUGGCCCAUUAGCAUUGCUAGUAAGGUCCAAGUAAAUCAAAUGUGAAAUGGGCCAGCGUGUCCUUCGUAUAAACAAUAGCCAUAAAUAAUACGCGGGGAUACUAGGAUCUUUUAAUCCUCUUCUCCUUGUUUAUUAGGCCGAUCGUCAAUCCAAGUAAACAAAUACAAGUUGAUAAUCAAUAAUAAUCAAAGUUAUUGGGAUUUAGUGAGUAAUAAUGGGUGGCACCAACAUAUGUCGGUCGUAGCCUGUAGUUAUAAUCAAAGUCUCCUGGAGGGAGAGCGAGAGUUUGUGUAUAGAUCUAUACGGGGUGACUCCCCCACACCUCAGUUGUUCGCUAUAGUUAGACUCGGCCAGUCUAGGGUGACAAAAUCUUAAGAUCAAUUCUGGCGUUCACCAGAGUGCCAAGACAGAUGAACUAGUCAUUAUCACGCAAGGUUAUAACGACUCACAUAAAUAAAUCCAAUAUAAAUCAAGUAAUCAAGGUAAAUCAAAAUCAUUCACGUGAUGGGAUAACAAUUCGAACCGUAUAUGAUAUUUAUUUUUCGGAAAACAUCGGGUUUUCCGGGGAAGUUCAACAUUUUUCACUGGUACUUUUAAUACGAAGUUUUUCAACUAUACACGUCUAGAAAUCAUCAUGCAUAUAUUUACGGAUCUUCACACUUUUAUAUAAACAUUGGUCUUUUCAAGAAAUAUCGGAUUUUCUGGGUUGUUUUCUUUCAAACUACACAAAACAUUUUUCAUAUCAAACCUGCUUAUGAACUCACCAACAUUCCAUAUGUUGACCGUUUUCAAAAUAACUUGUAUUCUCAGGUAACAAGUAAGCGGAGGAGUAGUACCAAGUAUGUUAGGGUGUUGUGCUUUUGAAAACUAUCAAACAAUUUAUGUUAUGGAUUUUAAAUGUUAAAACAAUGUACUUGAUGUGAAGAAUGUCAGUUGUAAUAUAUUGAUGCAUGGUGAUGUUUAUGUUAUGAUUCAUAUAUAUUCAUUGUGAUGAUAUUCAAUUUAAGUCACGCGAGCCCUCGAACGUUUCCGCCGUCUGGUUCAGGGGUGUGACACAAUAGCUUUGCCAUACACCAAGUAUGAACUCUAUGUUUGUCUAUGAUCAUUUUCUUUGUGAACUAGAUCAAUUGAACGUAAUUUCAAUGAUUCUCUUUUCACACUCCCAAAUCCUUGUCUUAAAUGUAAGAAUUCCAAAUUCCUCUCAUUUAUCGAAAUCUGUAUAGAUUUUUAACUUAUAUGCCUUGUUCCUCUUGUAAUGAUAAUGCACAAAGCCACAAAGACUUGGCAACAAUCAUUACAGAGUAUUCCAAUGGAGAGAAAUUCCAUGGAAACGAUGUCUCAAAUUCAAAGCGCAUUGCUUUGAACAUGCUUCUUGCAUUAAGUUUCUUUAAACUUACACAGAUUGCUUCCACCUAUGAAGACAACUCUAUAUUCCCAUUUUGACUAUCACUUCUGAACAAGAGUUGCCUCUUUUCAAACUAUGUCAAUAUGGUCCUUCCAAUAUUAACAAUAUACUUCUAACUGUCCUUGAACAACCAAUCUUCAGUAAACCUUAGAUUGUCCUUGAUAAUCGCUUAAUGACUUUAGUCAUACCCAAUUCUAGACAUUUUCCUCCUUAAUGCCCCAAGGCAUUUGGAAAAUUCAAAACGGAUAAAUAUUAUACUACGUGUAAUCGAUCUUGUACCCAAAGUAAAUGGGACACGAUUCAUGAUGUUUAACAUAAAUACAUGGUUCUAGACCAGUCUUUUGCCAUAAUAAUUUUUGUUUGCCAUAUUCUCAAAUUUUGAGUAUGAAAAGGGAUGUCGUAAUCAUAAUCGAAUUAUGAGAACGCAAUAUAUAGAAUUUUCUUAAGUUGAACCAAUCCAACAUGAAAUUCAUAUAUAUAUACUUGACUAAAGNAUAUAUUCUUGACUAAAGGUGAUUAAAAUCUCAAUAUAAGCUCUUUAGAAUGAUUAUAAAUUCAAUCUAAUCUUUUUAGAAUUGAAAUGAAGUAUAAUUUCCUCUCCCUUAAUUAUAGCAAAACAACUUUUUCAACCCCUGCAACCUCAUGAAUUGAAACUUUUGUUUUCUAAAAUUAACAUUGCUAACUUGAUGAUUAUUAGCAUAACACUUAUGUUCCCACUAGCUUUGACAUGUAUCCAGAAAACAGUUGGACCUCUAGAAGUCAAUACUUUAUUGACAUUCUUACCAAAGUUCAGAUUUCUGAUACUAGAUUGCUUUGAUAAGACUUUAUCAAAAUCAUACACCUUAUCUUAGAUAGAUCACAGGUGUGUCUAAACAAUUUCGGAACUAUGAAAAGGGAUUCCGUAAUCAUAGUCUAUAUUGUUUAGACCUUUGCCAUUUCUCAUAAUUCAAUGUUAGUGUACAGGUUAACCACACACUCUCCACUAAUGACUUUGAGAACUGCAAAUAUCACAAUUGCAUUCUACUUAAAAUCUACUUAUUGGAAGAAUUUCCUCGCCAUCAUUUUCAUGAAACGGAGAGAAAUCUUAUGACACUUAGAUUUUAUGGUAUAUGUGUUCUUAUCCAUGUGAAUUUGUCAAACCAUAAUCACAAGACUAGGUUAGUGACAAAUCCUAACUUGUAUGGAUUGAACUUGUGCAAUCUUAACUUCUUGACACUUGGCAGCUCAAGGGCCUGCCAUUGCUUCCAAGUAGCUAUGCAAACAAUUGAGAACAUGUAGAACUCAAAUGUAUAUCCAACUUAGUUGGAAUGGGCACAAAAAUGUCAACACGAUAGGUUAUAGACCUCUAAUUGUGUGCUAGUGAUGAAAUACACGUUUUAUUCUUGAUUACUUCUUGAAACCCUUUCAGGAUCUUUUAGACUCCCACUGUCUCCUUGACCUAUAAGACUUUCUUGCCAAAUAUUCAAGAGAUAGUGUGGAUUCUAAUCAAGACAAACACUUAACACAAUUGGCCUUAGUUGCUCUUUGUUUUAUCGAAAACAUCACAAAUUACCAAUUUCAAAUGUACAAGAGUAGAAAACAUUUACUCUUACACUUGACAAGUGUUUUAAACCUUCUUUAAGACAUGUCACUCAAAUUACAAUCUUAUAAUAUAACUCUAAGAAUUGUUUUGGAACGAAGUAUGAAUCAUCUUCUUGAUUUAACCACUUCAACAAUUCAUAACUCCACUUCUUAACUAUCAGAAUGCACUUAGAGGAUGAAUUGUGAUAAGGUCUCAAAAUCAUUAAGAUAAUCUUAAAACAUGAUACUAAAGUAGUCUCCCAACUUUUCAUACUUGAGAAACUUUUAUCCUUCUGCCUAAUUUGAUUCUUCUUAUUCGCUCUGUCAUACAUUGAAACUUUUCCAAUGUCUCAAAAUUAUACUUAAGCUUGUAAGUAUAAUUAUAUUUACUAAACCUUUUAUAUUUACUAAACCUUAGUAAAUCAUGACGAAUAGUCUUAUCGAUCUUUUAUGGUGGACUAGAUCAGUGCACAAGAAUGUGUACUCGAUCCCUUAGUCCUUCACUUGACUCACAUAUAAAUGUGAACAAGGAACUAGUCUUAAUUUUCCAAAGAUGAAACUUGCAUUCAUCAUACAACUUGCAUGAUUCCAAGUUUCUAUCCAAAUGAAACUUGGGUGAUGAAAAUCUUUCCUUGUUUGAUAAAUUUAGACACUACCAUAAAUGAAAGAAGCAAAUCCACUUUCCAAUAUUGCUAUCAAUGAAAUCAUAUAAACAACAAUUUUUCACAAAUGCCAUUGUAAGGAUACUUAGAAUAAAUAAAACAAAAAAAUAUAUUAUAAAACUUUGCGGAAAACUUAUCCUUACAAUGCAAGAGCAUAUGAAAAACUUGUUGUUAUCUAUUCCUAAGCAAUAUUACAUAACUCCUAAGUAACAGCUCAAAAUUCUGAUCACCGAACCAUGUGAUCGAAAUCCAUCUCCGCGAUCAAAAUUAGCCUAUACUUCCUUCUUCUCCUUUUCUUUGAUUCUUAAAACAUCAAUAUGUGACCCAGUCACAUCUUGUAAUAAGAAUCUCAGAAUAGAAACUUAAUAGAGUUUGAUAGUGGACUUUACCUGAAGUAGAGACAAACUUAUUGACUUUACGAGCCUUAUGAUCUUUCAGGUAAAUUUGGCAGCUUCGCAACCAAUGCCCUUUCCUUUUGGCAAUUUAACAUACGAACACUUUGGUAAUGGUACAUGGGACUAUCACAGAAUUAGUCUUUCUCUUUACCAUUUGGUCAACCGAGUUGACUAUGGCCGAUCCCUUUCCAUUGGGAAGAGAAUGCUUUUUCUGGAUUUCCAGUGUCACCAUUGUCAAUGUCCAUAAAGUUUUGGGAAGUCGAUCUUCUAAUCAAAUUUUCUUUACUAGUCUUCCAAAUCAUUGCUGAUUCAGCAGCACCAAGCAAAUAGAUAAGACCAUUAAGGGUCUUGUCAUAGUCUAUUUCAUAGGAGUCCCAAAGGAACUCACUAUCUGACUUAGAAAGUGAAUGAACCACCAACUCUCUCAAGACUUUGACGCCCAACUCUCCCAGCUUGUCAAUAUGUGACUUCAUAUCCAAGAUGCAACCACACAUAGACCUUGCUUGCCAAUAGGGCUUGAGUGACCUUGAACUUGUGGGUAAUGGAGAAUAAUUGGAGGAGGUGGGGGAGGUGAAGUUUCAAGAGUCUUGGGAAGAUUAUAGAUGUCUGAACCAGACAUCUUUUUGGGAGAUUUUCACGAUAGUUGAUUUAAAGUCCUUAAUAUAACACCCUAUAUGAAAUAUUAAGGCUAGGAGCAAACACAAUAUUUUAUAACUUGGAAGAGGGAUUCCGUAAUUCAAGCUAUAGAAUAUUUGAAGGUAGGCGAAUGACGAUUCACCAAUUUCCACCAUGAAAAACGAAAUAAAUUAUUACGUUUUUAAUUAGAUUUGAAACUCAUAGAUCUUUUGAGAUUCGUUGAACUAUUCAAUGGCAUGUUUCAAUCUCGAGCGUGCAAUUCAGGUUUUGUGACUGGGAUGCCGAGGAUCACAAAACAAGGUGUGAAGUAACCAUGUAAAUUACUUGGUACCCUUAAGUGUUCACCCCUCAAUCGAUGUGCCGGUUAACCACACACGCUCCAUCGAUACUAUGAUAAACAUUAAGUUACCCUUUGCCUACCUUGUUAAGUACGAGUUAGUGUGCCAGUUAACCACACACGCUCCACUAACCGACUUAAACAAAGUGCAAAGUGUAAUUUCAUGGAUUAGCACCUUAUUCACAUUUUCCUAAGUAACUAAGAUUGGGUAUUUAUAAAUGGUUUAGUUACUUAGUAUUUAUCAUUAAUACUUUUAAUGAAGGGAUAAUUUAUAGUCUUUGUCCUACCCGUUCGGCUAACGACCCUCCACCAGUCAAGGAAGCGGUGGGUGAGAGUGGACAUCCAUUAAACUGCCAUUUUAUAGGCAGUAACCUUAUACCCCCCUUAUAGACCGGCUUCGUGAAUGAGGCCUAAUAACGGUAAGAUUGACUUCCUCUUAUACAUAUCUAUAUAAUUAAAAUUAUAAUAAUAGUAUAAGGGUUGNAUACAUAUAUAAUAUUAUUAUUAACUUAUAAUAUUAUAAAGUAUAAGGGUUGAAUUUUAACUUUUAAAAUUCUAUAGGCUAAACUUGGAAUUAAAGUAUUCAUAAGAGAACAUUUUUCAAAUUCCAAAACUUGAGGGCGAGUUUUUAAAAUAUUCAAAACUAAUUAAUUCCAUAACUUAUGUGUUUAAAGUAGCUUUAAUUAAAAAACUCUUCAAGUUCCAUAACUUGAGGACAAGUUAUGGAAGACUUUAAACUAUUAAAGAAUGUAACUCUUCUUCUUUGUAACUUAUGGAACUAAUUAAGGUUACACAUUUUAAUGAUUUAAUGAAGUGACUCUUGAACCUCCAUAACUUGAGGACAAGUUAUGGAGUCAUAAAACCAUUUAAUGAGGAAAAUACUCUUCAUUUUGUAACCAUUGCUAACUUUUAUGACUUUUAAGAAACUUUAAUGUGACUUUUCAUGUAACUUGAGGACAAGUUACACAAACACAUUUUAGAAUCAAUUCUUAGAUUAAAAUGGAUCAAAGACACAUAAUCAAUCAGCCUUUUCUAUUAAUCUAAGCAACUAAUAUGAACAAGAUAAUUGGAAUCAAACUUUUUCAUGUAAUUAGCAUAACACUUAAACUAAUACAAAACAUGAAUCUAUUGACAAUUAUCUUUGAAAUUGGAUUAGUAUCAACAUUACCAUAUCAAAAAUAAUUUUAUAAGUCCAAAAACAGCUUAGGGUAAUGUUCCUAGUCCAAUUCCAGCCAAAACAAUCGAAUAUAUGCUAUAUGGGGGUCCAACUCGUCGAGUGCAUGAACAAACUCGACGAGUUGGAUGCUUUUUGCCUUGGACUCGGCGAGUCCAUCCGUGGACUCAGCGAGUCUGCUAUGCAGACAACACCAAAAUUCGAUUUUUAAGCAAUUUAAGCAAGCAUAACAAUAAAACAAGCCUAGGCUCUGAUACCACUGAUGAGCAUUCUAACACUCCUAUAGUGUACAUGCAACCCUAUAAACCUUGGAUCUAUGUUUUCUCUAUUAUACAUGCAAAUAUUAAGUAUUCCAAGGUUUCAUCCUAACUAGCAUAUUAUGAAGCACCUAUACUACAAAGUUCUAGUUAGAUGACAUACCUUUUGAUGUAGCUUGAUGUCUUCAAGCUUUAAGAGCUUAGCCCCAAUAGUGUGGAAGCCUCAAGUGGAAUCACAAAUCACCAAAACACCUUGGAAGACUUUGAGAANGUAUGCACACUAAAAUCGGCCCACUCUUAUGUCCUCACACACUAGUGCCAUUUCUUGUGCCAAAGGCCACUUUAUAUAGUAUAGAGGAUUAAGGUUACAUCCAUGUAAACCCUAAUACCCUUGACCUUUCAUUUCAUAGGAUCCAUGUGUUAAAACUCCAUGGACUAUCCAUGAUAGCUUAGCCCAACCUAAAUGAACUUGGCCCAUUCCAUAUAUAUAAGAGUCCAUAUUUAAUUAGUUCAUUUUGAUCACUUAAUUAAUUCUAAAUUAAUUCUUGAUCAAUACUAAUUAAAUAAUAUGAUUCCAUAUUAAUAUAUUAGAACUUAUAAUAUAUUAAUAUUAAUCAUAAACAUACUAUUCUCAAAAGAUUAUCCAUAUAAAUUGUGUCGGUGAAGUGCAACCCAAAUGGACCAUGCCGGGUCGGGUCAAGUCUUACCAAUUAUAGUUAUGGACUUAGACAUUAAUCCAACAGUCUCCCACUUGGAUAAGUCUAAAACUAUUAUUGCAAGUACGGCUUCAUAACCUGACUAGCAAUCGUAGCUCUUAAAGCCGUUGUCGAACUCUGAACAAAUCAAAUGACACGUCCAUUAGAUAAGUGAUCAUAUAUUGCUCCAUUCUAGAUAUCAUAUGGACUGAGACAUGGAUUAUAAUCAUUCUCUCUGUGCAUUUGUUGUUUCCUGAUUUCCGAUUUAUAACGACUGACUGAUUAAACAAAUCAAAUCAGUCAUGGCUUGGCCAAGCACCCACAUGUGUCAUCAUUAAAUCAUCGAGGGGCCCACAAAUAUCGCUUUUAUCCCGAAGGUAAAAGGAAUGGAUAAACUUCGACUCAUAUGGCUUAUUCUACUACUUGUUGAAUCAUACAAAAAGGCAUGUUUUA